rnacentral:lncRNA from 1 species
CUUAACUUCCGUAGAACUACUAAAAAUGUAAAUGCAGGUUUUAUUUUUACAAUUCCGGCCUUCAGUACCUAUCCCACAUCUUUUAAGAAUCUCCUCAGCCAGGGAACAGACUCAUUGAUUUAAGUGUAACUGAUGGGGAAACUGAGGCAAAGAGGUUAAAGGAUCUCUCCAGGGCUACGGAGUGUGUUGGCGUCCAUUCCCAUUCCCUAGGCAGGUGCACAGACUAGUAGACUUCUCUGCUCUGACUGCAGCAGGGAAGUGGGACGCCCCUUUGGCAAUCUGUCAGUGCCAACCUGAGCUGCAUCCUUUCACUGGGUAUUUUCUAAGCUGACUGACAGUCCUUAAAACAAGUAUGCAGUUAAGCUGCUAAGAAGUGGACAAACAGCAGCCAUGAUAGAUGCACCAUGUUAAUUGUGAC